AAGAAACCCACUUUUAGAGAGAGUAGCUCUACCUUCUCUCUAACCUAACACCUCUUCCACUUCUCCAACAAAUCAUCCAACCCACACGAAUCCAAUCUCCACAAACCUAGAUAUCUCAAAAAUCCUCCAAAAACCACCAGCAAAUUUAAUACUUGCUAGUACAUGAAACUAGCAUCACAUAAGUUCUUGGGUUUAGGAUUUCUGUGAAUAGUGAUUCCGUCACUAUUCAUCCGGCAUUUUUACCAGAAUCGGGCGUUGGAUUGUAGCAAUUUUGGUAUCAAAAGAAGCGUCUUUUCUUUGCACACAAUCUCCAUUUGUUUUUGUUCUCAAACUCAUAAUCAAUUUUUUCAAAUCUUAGAUUUGGUGCGUCAGUUACUGUAGCAAACUAAAACUGGGCAGAUUUGUUUUAGUUUUGUAUUCUGUUUUUGCUUUCAUCUUGAUGGAGUUUUGAAGAACCAUG
rnacentral:lncRNA from 1 species